rnacentral:piRNA from 1 species
UUCCCCACCACAGUGAAAGGAAGUAGGC